CAGCAGUAGCCGCGGUAAAACGAAGGGGGCUAGCGUUGUUCGGAUUUACUGGGCGUAAAGCGCACGUAGGCGGACUUUUAAGUCAGGGGUGAAAUCCCGGGGGUCAACCCCGGAACUGCCUUUGAUACUGGAAGUCUUGAGUAUGGUAGAGGUGAGUGGAAUUCCGAGUGUAGAGGUGAAAUUCGUAGAUAUUCGGAGGAACACCAGUGGCGAAGGCGGCUCACUGGACCAUUACUGACGCUGAGGUGCGAAAGCGUGGGGAGCAAACAGGAUUAGAUACCCCGGUAGUCCCUGUCUCUUAUAA
rnacentral:rRNA from 1 species